UACAGAGGGGGCAAGCGUUGUUCGGAAUUACUGGGCGUAAAGGGCGCGUAGGCGGCCUGCUAAGUCGAACGUGAAAUCCCUGGGCUCAACCCAGGAACUGCGUCCGAUACUGGUUGGCUUGAAUCCGGGAGAGGGAUGUGGAAUUCCAGGUGUAGCGGUGAAAUGCGCAGAUAUCAGGAGGAACACCGGUGGCGAAGGCGGCCUGCUGGGCAGUUACUGACACUGAGGCGCGACAGCGUGGGGGGCAAACAGG
rnacentral:rRNA from 1 species